UUUCAAUCAAACAAAAAUAAAUACAAGUCUUGAUUAAAAAAGAACAAUAAAAGUCUGGAUUCAACAAAAAAAAUCCACAAGCAACUGCUUACCUAACAACUUGCUCAUUCACUCCAACAAGGUGAAGUGAAUAAUAUCAAAAAUAUAUUGACAGAAUUUAAAUAUUGACAAAAAGAUGAAGUUUACAUAAAUAUUUAUUUAUAAAUAAGAUUAAAUAUAUAUUUCAGAUAAUUCUUAUUGGGUGGGUAUGGGGUUGGGGAUCAAAAUAUCAUCCCUGCCCCGUACCCGAUUUUAAAAUUCGAAUAUUGGGGAUCCGCGUCCCCGAUACCUGAUUUCUCCCGAAUUUCUCCCCGUUAGGGUCGAAUACCUGAUGGGGAUUAUUGCCAUCCCUAGGACUGGGCCUCUUACAGUAUAAAGUCCAAACAUGUGCCACCACUAUUUGGUCUCCCUCUAGCACAUCUUCGGACACCAGCUGCUCAGGAUCCACAAGGUCUUGAAGGAGGUCAUAAUCCUCUUGCCUUAGCUAUUGGCCAUGGUUCUAUUUUUGGUUUCGCUGGCCCCUUUGACCCUUAUUUGGUGCAGGGGCGAUGUCCUGAUUUAGUUUGAUACUGCUUGAAGAAUCAGUUUUUUGAAUCAUGAGAUAGUUUAUAUUUUUGAUUUGGCUGUUCAGACUCCCAAAUUUUUAGUUAUUGUUACAACAAAAAUAGGUUCUUUGGUUGGCUGCCUUCUGAAUUGAUGAAGACUUUCAGUUUUUGUACCUAAUUUUGCCUCAGUUUUUCUAACCUCAGUGGCUUUGUUCCUCGGUGCAAUUUAAUCUCAAUUAGAAGACUUGAUCAGUGCCUUCUGAAUUGAUGAAGACUUUCAUUUUUGUACCUAAUUCUGCCCCAGUUUUUUUAGCCUUAGUGGCUUUAUUCCUCGGUGCAAUUUAAUCUCAAUUAGAAGACUUGAUCAGU